rnacentral:rRNA from 1 species
UGCCAGCCGCCGCGGUAAUACGGAGGGUGCGAGCGUUAAUCGGAAUCACUGGGCGUAAAGCGCGCGUAGGCGGCGCGAUAAGUCAGGCGUGAAAGCCCUCGGCUCAACCGGGGAAUUGCGCUUGAUACUGUCGUGCUUGAGUCUCGGAGAGGGUGGCGGAAUUCCAGGUGUAGGAGUGAAAUCCGUAGAUAUCUGGAGGAACACCAGUGGCGAAGGCAACAUUCUGGGCUAUUACUGACAUUGAGGUACGAAAGUAUAGGUAGCGAAUAGGAUUAGAUA